AUUGAACGCUAGCGGGAUGCUUUACACAUGCAAGUCGAACGGCAGCGCGGACUUCGGUCUGGCGGCGAGUGGCGAACGGGUGAGUAAUGUAUCGGAACGUGCCCAGUAGCGGGGGAUAACUACGCGAAAGCGUAGCUAAUACCGCAUACGCCCUACGGGGGAAAGCAGGGGAUCGUAAGACCUUGCACUAUUGGAGCGGCCGAUAUCGGAUUAGCUAGUUGGUGAGGUAACGGCUCACCAAGGCGACGAUCCGUAGCUGGUUUGAGAGGACGACCAGCCACACUGGGACUGAGACACGGCCCAGACUCCUACGGGAGGCAGCAGUGGGGAAUUUUGGACAAUGGGGGCAACCCUGAUACAGCCAUCCCGCGUGUGCGAUGAAGGACUUCGGGUUGUAAAGCACUUUUGGCAGGAAAGAAACGUCGCGGGCUAAUACCCCGUGGAACUGACGGUACCUGCAGAAUAAGCACCGGCUAACUACGUG
rnacentral:rRNA from 1 species